rnacentral:rRNA from 1 species
ACGCUGGCGGCGUGCCUAAUACAUGCAAGUCGAGCGGUAGCACAGAGAGCUUGCUCUCGGGUGACGAGCGGCGGACGGGUGAGUAAUGUCUGGGAAACUGCCUGAUGGAGGGGGAUAACUACUGGAAACGGUAGCUAAUACCGCAUAAUGUCGCAAGACCAAAGUGGGGGACCUUCGGGCCUCAUGCCAUCAGAUGUGCCCAGAUGGGAUUAGCUAGUAGGUGGGGUAACGGCUCACCUAGGCGACGAUCCCUAGCUGGUCUGAGAGGAUGACCAGCCACACUGGAACCGAGACACGGUCCAGACUCCUACGGGAGGCAGCAGUGGGGAAUAUUGCACAAUGGGCGCAAGCCUGAUGCAGCCAUGCCGCGUGUGUGAAGAAGGCCUUCGGGUUGUAAAGCACUUUCAGCGGGGAGGAAGGCGUUAAGGUUAAUAACCUUGGCGAUUGACGUUACCCGCAGAAGAAGCACCGGCUAACUCCGUGCCAGCAGCCGCGGUAAUACGGAGGGUGCAAGCGUUAAUCGGAAUUACUGGGCGUAAAGCGCACGCAGGCGGUCUGUCAAGUCGGAUGUGAAAUCCCCGAGCUCAACCUGGGAACUGCAUUCGAAACUGGCAGGCUAGAGUCUUGUAGAGGGGGGUAGAAUUCCAGGUGUAGCGGUGAAAUGCGUAGAGAUCUGGAGGAAUACCGGUGGCGAAGGCGGCCCCCUGGACAAAGACUGACGCUCAGGUGCGAAAGCGUGGGGAGCAAACAGGAUUAGAUACCCUGGUAGUCCACGCCGUAAACGAUGUCGAUUUGGAGGUUGUGCCCUUGAGGCGUGGCUUCCGGAGCUAACGCGUUAAAUCGACCGCCUGGGGAGUACGGCCGCAAGGUUAAAACUCAAAUGAACUGACGGGGGCCCGCACAAGCGGUGGAGCAUGUGGUUUAAUUCGAUGCAACGCGAAGAACCUUACCUGGUCUUGACAUCCACAGAACUUUCCAGAGAUGGAUUGGUGCCUUCGGGAACUGUGAGACAGGUGCUGCAUGGCUGUCGUCAGCUCGUGUUGUGAAAUGUUGGGUUAAGUCCCGCAACGAGCGCAACCCUUAUCCUUUGUUGCCAGCGGUUAGGCCGGGAACUCAAAGGAGACUGCCAGUGAUAAACUGGAGGAAGGUGGGGAUGACGUCAAGUCAUCAUGGCCCUUACGACCAGGGCUACACACGUGCUACAAUGGCAUAUACAAAGAGAAGCGACCUCGCGAGAGCAAGCGGACCUCAUAAAGUAUGUCGUAGUCCGGAUUGGAGUCUGCAACUCGACUCCAUGAAGUCGGAAUCGCUAGUAAUCGUAGAUCAGAAUGCUACGGUGAAUACGUUCCCGGGCCUUGUACACACCGCCCGUCACACCAUGGGAGUGGGUUGCAAAAGAAGUAGGUAGCUUAACCUUCGGGAGGGCGCUUACCACUUUGUGAUUCAUGACUGGGGUG